rnacentral:rRNA from 1 species
GUGGAGGAUGACGGGCGUUGGGGUGUAAAGUCUAUUCGUGGGGGAUUGAAACGGACUAGUACGCGUAGAAGCAGCCCCGGCGAACUUUUGCCAGCAGCCGCGUAAGACAGAGGGGGCAAGCGUUGUCGGGAUUGAGUGGGCUUAAAGGGCGAGCAGGCGGUUCGUGACGUGCCGUGAGACAGCUGGGAGCUCAACUCCCAGCGGCCAGGGUAGACGCAGGGACGGAGGCAGGGAGAGGGGCAGUGGAAUACCCGGUGGAGCGGUGAAAUGCGUAGAGAUCGGGUCAACACCAGGGGCGAAGGCGGCUGCCUGGCCCUGACCUGACGCUGAGGCGCGAGAGAGUGGGGAGCAAACUGGAUUAGAUACCCAGGUAGUCCACGCCGUAAACGAUGUGCACCCGGUGCUGGGCGGUGAUUGUGCCGCUCGGUGCCUGAGCUUACGCGAUGAGUGCACCGCGUGGGGAGUACGGCCGCAAGGCUAAAACUCAAAGGAAUUGACGGGGGCCCGCACAAGCAGCGGAGCGUGUGGUUUAAUUCGACGCAACACGAAGAACCUUACCUAGGCUUGACAUGGUACUGCAAGCCGGAGAAAGCCGGUCGCCUUCGAGGGUGUACCACUGGUGCUGCAUGGCUGUCGUCAGCUGGUGUCGUGAGAUGUUGGGUUAAGUCCCGCAACGAGCGCAACCCUUGCCCGAUGUUGUAGGUAUCAUCGGGGACGGCCGCUGGUCGCCAGCGGAGGAAGGCGGGGAUGACGUCAAGUCCGCAUGGCCCCCACGUUUAGGGCUACACACACCAUACAAUGGCCGGAGGAGUGCGUUGCGACCUGGUAACGGGGAGCUAAUCGCCAAGGUCGGUGGUAGUGCAGAUUGGGGGCUGCAACUCGCCCCCAUGAAGGCGGAGUUGCUAGUAACCGCGUGGCAGCAUAGCGCGGUGAAUACGUUCCCGGG